GAAGUAGGAGAUGACUGAAGACUGUACAAACUUCUAUUUGACUCUGCUGAAAAUGCUAAGAAACUUGACCCAAAUAACAUAUUUUUGUUCUUCUUUUGUCUAAUAUUUAGAUAACUUGAAAAUAAACAAAAAAUGGUUAAACAUCUCAUUAUCCUUUAUUAUUUACAACAGAAUCUCAGCAGAUUUUCAUUUCAGUGUGCAAGUUAAUUGCAAAUUAUAAUCUGUAAAAGAAUUCUUAUAUCAUAAUUACAGGAUCUCUCACAAACAGCAGAACUUCUCAGUGAUGAAUAUAUAUAUUCUCUUGUAUUUUGCACUUUUCAUUUAAAAAAUGUGCAAAAAUUCUUCAUCUAUCACCAUUACUUCCGUAGAAUACAUAUUUGGUGAUGAUGUUCGCAAGCAAGUAUGGCUAUUUAAGAAGCUUUUUUAUAAUUAUUUCUAUCUCCUUCACAAAUACAGCUACUGUCUUUAUAAAUGGAUUCAUAUUCCAAAUAACAGAACUGUGUUAGCUAUUAAAAGACGUUGCAGGCUUUAAGUUCCUGUUUAUCUUGAAAUCACAAAGCUGCUUGGAGAAGCAACAGGGUACUAACACAUCUUACUUCCAUCUAGUAAUUCUGAAACAAAAUCAGCUAUGUAGUGACUUGCAUUUCUUGCAAACUUGGUAAGUUAAGCAAGUUACUGCUCUUAAGCACACUUGUAAAGUUAAAAAUAAAGCUAUGUUCUCAGUCAGGAAUUAAGCAGAUAGUAUUUUCAAAGCUUUAUUGAAGUAAAUGUAUCUUACCAUAUAUAGCAUACCUGUUCCUCUCACUAAGGAGGUCUGCUAGCAGCAUUAAUUUCUCAUGCUCCACCUGAUUCUGGCCGUGUGACAGACACAGAAAAGGAAUGCUUUUAAUCCUAGCAAUAUUUAUAUUACUGUUGAUUUAACCACUUGGAUGUCCAUGUCAGUAAGCGUUGUAUUUUGCCCCUGACCUGUCUCACACAAGUCCUUUAAUAAACAUGCAUUCCUAGUGCAACGAAGUGUAUAUUACAAAACAGGAGCAGCUGCCUCUUAGGAAUGAAAUUUCAAAGCCAAUAUUCCAGACUCAGCAAAGGUUAAGGUUCAUUUUCCUCUAAAGCAAUGCAGAGAAAUCUAACUGAGGGCACCAGGUGCAGCAUGCUGCCUCCUGCUGAACCACAGCUGUAGCUGUGCAGGAAAGAAUUUCAGAGGUUUAUACAAUUUAUGGCACUCUAUCCAUUACAUGACUUCAAAAUUCACAUUUUCUCUCAUUCCCUCUCUUCCCUCUUGCCAUCAACUUCUUGCUGAAAAUUCUGGUUGUAUUAUCACCUUCCUGUGGAUAAAUAUUUUGCUAUGCUUCAUUAGUUUCCAGCAAAAGCAUCUCACUGUUGAGUUCCAGCACGUUCAGCUUUCAAACAUAAGCACAGAAAUAUAGUGGUAAUGUAGUUUACAAGCUUAUGAAGCCUACUGUCUCCUGAAGCAUGUAAUUUUCAAUACAAAAUGCACUAUGUUGCUAUAGAAGCAAUCAGAAAUUGCAGCAAUAUUUAAAUACCUCAUUUAUUUCACAUUUUAAACGCAUUUCUGAAACAGGAUUGUAGAACUGCUCUCUGUAAAAGCUAAUGCAGACUUCUCCAUUUAGUAAAUAAUUUAUCUAUGUAAUACAACAAAAACCACACAGAAAACAAGUUUAUUUAUCUAAGCAGCCAGUUUCCAGAAUGUAUAGGGGAUGCUCGAUCCUUUAUGUGGUAUAUUCUCAGUUUCCAGUUAUCAGAGACUUUGAAUGCAAGAGGCUGAAUCAAAAACAUUACAUUGAACAGGCAUAGAAAGACCUGUACUCCAAAAACUGCACUCCUUCAUAAUUUACUCCAAGAAUAAUAUUGAUACCCAAUUAAAAAAAAAAAUAGAGCACAGCAGUGAGAUUUAUUAGCCCAAGCAAGGACUAACACAGCUUACUCUCAUCAUAAAUAGCUUUAAUGUGUUUGUUUCCCUUCUAGCCCGUAACAGAAUUAACAGCACCUAUUUGUUAGAGGAAAUAUAGGAACACGUUGAAAACCACAAGCCUGGUCACCGCACAACUCAUCCCAAAGUCUUUGUGCUCGUGUUAAAUCCUUAACAUUUUCAGAACAACCCAAUUUAUUAAGAUUGGCUGAGGAAAAAAAAAAACCAAAAAAAAAAGGAAAAAAAAAAGAAAAAAUAGCCCUAGUCAUAUGGGCCUUCCACAAGUGCUUUGCAUUCUCACUGUAUUUUAAUACACAUAAAUUAAGUACUACAAAAGUAAAAAAUUCUUACAUUUUGUUGAUCACUGCUGAGGAUGACUAAUUACGUCUCAAGUCUCUUGUACUUAGGAGCUUCACACCUUCAUCAUAACAACUCUCAGACUUUAUCUAAGUUUUCAUUGUGAUACGUGCAUUUCUUUUAAAUGAAAAAGAAACUGAAUUAUGUUGCAUAGCACCUCAUGCAGUAAAACAUUUCACACAGAAACCAUUUAAAUUUCAAAAAGUGUCGAAAGGAACAAGAAAGCAGAUUAAUCAAAGCAAUAAGCUAGCUCAUUUUCACCAGAGAAAAAUAGUAUUUCCAUCAAUACAAUUGUUUCCUUUUUUUUUUUAAACUUUGUCCCCCUCACCAUCUGCUUCUGUACUGCUUUUUCUUCCAAGAAGCACUAACCACUUGCAGCUUCACAUAUUGCAUCACAAAAUUCAGGCUGAACGGGAACAAAAUUUCAAUACCAAAGCCAAAAAAAAAAGCACUACCUAUUCAUAAAAGGCCCUCUAAAAGUAACAUACUUUUCCUUUCCUUACUUUCCCAACUAUAAUUUUAAUCCUUUACCUGUCCUGGUAGAUUCAACAUUUAGUUACACACAUCCUCUCAAAAAUGGAGGUUGAGUUUUUGGCCAUGAGUACUUCUGAGUUAUACCAGUGCCUUCAGUGCUGCCAUUUUUUUGGCCAAAUCUUCCCUUCUCCUUCUUUAGGGAGCCAGUACCGAAAUCCACGCCUGUCAGGUACUCUAAUGUGGAUAAAGAGGGUGAGCCAAAAAAACGUGUGAGUGUUUCUACUACUUUUAGUACACUUUGACAAAAGAAACAAGAGCAGAUAACUCAGCAGGAGUGCUGUAUGCGUACACUGUGUGUCUGAACUUACCGAGGCAGAUGGGAAAGGCCGUCAAGUAUUUACAGAACAUCUGAGAAGUACAAUGGAGCAGCGUGAGCUGAGCCAGGGCUGAGCACAGCGAGCAGGGAGCGCAGCACUGCACAAGGCUCAGGAGAUGAGAGCGUCAGAGCCCACACGGCCUUGUGCCCAGAGACAACAGGAGGCAGAGAAAACAGUGAUAAAACCUGACAGAAUUAAAUACAAACAGGCACUUCCCUGCGGUAAUGCUCCAAUCUGAGCCCUGAGGCAAGCAAGGCCCUAAAGGGCCACAGUGCUCUUCACAAUGGGAGUUGUUUCUCUGCGGCACGUUUUGCAGGUGUUAUUGCAAUCCUCCUGCCUGUGCUAAAGGGAACUUCUGGGAAGGGAACUUCUGGACUAAGCUGUGUAACCCUGAGGCCUCGGGCUCAGUUUGAGGAGGACAACGCAGUGCGGGAUGCAGCAGGUGCUCCAGACAGGUAGGAAACCCUCACUCAGGGCUCAUUCCCCAGCCCUGUGCCUUCAGGGUCAGCGGGUGCCGUGACAGGGGCACAGAGCAGCGGGCGGGCGAGGCUGGAGGCAGGGCCAGCCGCAGGGCUCCGAGUGCUGAGAGGAGCCGGAAUGGUUCGGGUUGGAGGCACCGUACAGCCGGCCGGCCCCUGCCGCGGGCUGGCUGCCUCUCCCCGGGUCAGGCUGCAUAGGUCCCUAUCCUGAUAGAGUGAGGGCAUAAAUCGAAAGAAAAAAAAUAUGGAACGCUUCACGAAUUUGCGUGUCAUCCUUGCGCAGGGGCCAUGCUAAUCUUCUCUGUAUCGUUCCAAUUUUAGUAUAUGUGCUGCCGAAGCGAGCACGAUUGUUACGGCCUCCUGUAAAAUAUUUAUAGCCCAGAGAACGGAGGCCUCUAAGGCUAGGGCGAGCCCACGGGUAAGGAAAGCACAAAGUGUGCGCGGGGAGGGGGGCAGACAGCGCACAGCGCGGGUAGAGCUGCGGGGCAGCGAGCGGGGGCGCAGGGCGCGAAUCCCCCCGCGCGAGCACGGCGCUAUGCAAAUGUGCGCGCGGCACUGUGGGGCGGGAGGCGUGGUUCGCGCGCUCCGUGCCGCGGGGCGGUGGGCGCGUCUGGCUUCGUUUCUUCGCAGUUUUGGUGGGACUUUAAGAGCAGCUGUGGUCGGGUCUUCGGAGUUGGCACUGUUUUUGUUUUCUGUGGUAAUACGUCGGGAGUUUGUACUUCGUUAUCCGCAGCAGUAUCCCGGUGGUUUAAGUCUCGCGUCGUUUCUUCGGGUACCUGCACGGCGCACGCAGGAGCUGUUGCGGUGCUCAGUUGCAGGGAGAGCUGCGCGGCAGCGCGUUGGCAGCCGGGGGAGGUGGGUGUGUGCAGAUUUAAGCAGCAGCGGCUGUAGUAGGAGGUACUGGGUGCGGGCGGGUGGUGCCACUUUAAAGGCCGCUGGGAAAAGCUGUUCUAGCGAGGAGCAGAGUGGCGCAGCGGAAGCGUGCUGGGCCCAUAACCCAGAGGUCGAUGGAUCGAAACCAUCCUCUGCUAACCACUACUUUUCCCUCUGGGGCGAACAACCGUCAGCGUGAGCGGGGCUUUGCUGCCCUGUGUCACCGGGCGCAGCCGGGCCGCAAUCCGGGGGUGUCCGGUUGCACUGAACACGGGGGUUCCUUUCCGUAGUGCUGAGCCGUGAUGCAGUUGGUGCGAAGGGAAAGUCGUGAACUCCGCGUUGGCUCUGCUUUUAUUGUAUCCCGACGCGGUGCUUUGAUCUCGCAGCGCUGUGUGAUUUUCCUGUCUCGUCUGCUUCAUGGUGCGCCCAGUCACCUUCCACGGGUCAGUUCAUUGCAGUCUUUGUGACAAUGACGUGGUGCAGCACGUUGAAAAUGCAACUAGUUCCUUUCUGCACGGUGAGCAACCCUUGUGAAAGCAGAAAUCCGGUGUGAGCAGAGCACGAGGCCACCUGCUGAGCUCGGGAGCCCCCCCUACGGUUCGUUGCACGUGUUUGAAAGCAGCCGCUUUCCUUGCUGUUUGUUUCUCCCGCCAAACCCUGCAGCGUCCUGCAGAUCAUAGUUUAGCGAUCGUUAUACCACGAAGACAACGAAUAUAGCGGAAAGGCAGGAGGGGGACGAGCAGCCGGUUUAGAAUCAGUCUGCGCUUCAGCAUUCAGUGAUGGUACAGAAUUUGACGAGUGAACAUUUAUGAAAAUUUAUUAUGCAGCACGGGAGAGCCGAGUGCCACCGCGCGGUUCUAUGGUGUAAUGGUUAGCACUCUGGACUUUGAAUCCAGCGAUCCGAGUUCAAAUCUCGGUAGAACCUGGUGGAGAGGAGUCACUUUUUCCAUGCCCCGGAGAUAACUAAAGGCGGAGCGCGUGCAAGAAUCCUGCAGGGCUGAGUGCCAAGGGCUUCGCUUGGUGCCGACUGCCGUGUAUUUGUAAUUUGUAUUAAAUUGGGUGAUGUAAGAAGUGUACUUUUGCCAAAAAGAACAAGGAAGAUUUUAAUUUCUAAAUAGUUCUUACUCAAGCGUAA